rnacentral:rRNA from 1 species
ACGAAGGGGGCAAGCGUUGUUCGGAAUUACUGGGCGUAAAGGGCGCGUAGGCGGCUUAUCAAGUCAGGCGUGAAAUUCCCGGGCUCAACCUGGGAACUGCAUCCAAAACUACUGGGCUAGAGUAUGGUAGAGGGUGGUGGAAUUUCCUGUGUAGCGGUGAAAUGCGUAGAUAUAGGAAGGAACACCAGUGGCGAAGGCGACCACCUGGACUAAUACUGACACUGAGGCGCGAAAGCUAGGGGAGCAAACGGGA